rnacentral:lncRNA from 1 species
AUGCCAAUGGCUCCAAGUUGUCUUUGCUGCUGGACUCCAGAUCCCAUCUGACAUGACACUGGUGAUGGAGGGAUUGGUGACAGAGGGACACAAUGGUGCAGCAGCAUGGAUUGCCUUCCCAAGCUUUCCAAAGGUCUCAGAGAGCUUUCUGCCGGCAGCGAGAGACUAAACUUCGGAGGAGCCUGACCCCGGGAUUAUCCGAGGGAAGACAUGUGCUCGCUGUUCGGGAGUCACCAUCUGCGAGGGAGAUGCCGGGCAGCGGAGACGCGUGGCAGGGACACGGCUGCAUCUGCCCAGGAUGAACAGGGACCUCAAUUCCUGAGCAUCCUCCCAGCCCUGCCCCGUGCCUUUAUCACCGCGACGAGUUUCUGCUCGACGGGAGGGUUCCUGGGCUUUUCUAUUCCUUUCCCACCAAGCCUCCAGCCCAGCUCCGGGGGACUUUCCCCUCCUCCCUCAAUCAGCCCCGGCGGGUCCAUUUGCUUUUGUCUCCCAUUAAUUGCUUGCUACUUUUCAUUGCCUGCUCCUCCCCCUUUUAAAGAUAAAUUUUAAAGCCCGAGCGGGGUGGAGAAUGGCUGAGCCCGCUGUUAUUUUUGACAUUCGCCCCAGUGACAGCUGGACCUUGCAAGGCUGGGGCCGUUCGCACACAAAGCCUAUUAGCUAUGCCCACUCACUUAAUGAGCCCUGAAGUCUGGAAGGAAAAUUUCCUCCCCUAAGUGUGGCAGAGCCCUUUGUCAUUGUAAACAGGCGCUGCUUGCCGAGCCCUGCCUUGCCUUUCUCCUUCCUGCCACCGUGGCUUUUCUAUUUACUCAGGAAACAAAAGCGGAGCCGUGUCAGCGCGCAGGGAAGAAAAUGUACCCAGCGACUGGGGCUCGCAGGGACCCGCCUCUGCCACCCACCGACCGCAGCCAGGGCUCCUCGGUGUCACCGGCACCAAGGGGACACCUUGGAUGGGCUGCGGGAGAUGCUCCCGGCAUUGCAGAACCUCAGCUGCUCCUGCAGGGACCGGCUGUGCAGCCCAGAGCAGCCCGGGGAAAUCAUUCCUUCACCUGAGCACGGUUCAAGUGUGCUUGAGAGCUGGACCUCGAGGAUGUCCUCAUGCCAUUGCUUCCCUGGGCUGUCCCUGGUGAGAACUUCCAAGAGGCUUCAGAAAAGCAGCUCCCAGCCUGUGACAUCUCUAUAUUCACUGCAUCUCCUGCUUGUUCCUGUUGUUCCUGUGCUGACACCAGCCCACAUGGAUGAGGAUUCCUGUGCCCAGCUUGUCACAUCCUCUCCUGAACAGUGUGCCAUCGAGACAGGAUGGAGACAGAACUGGAAUAAACCAAG